AUCUAAAUAGCUUAAGUAGAGUAUAACUUUGAAGCUGUUAUGGAGAUGUAAAUCUUUAGAUA
rnacentral:tRNA from 1 species